rnacentral:rRNA from 1 species
GACAGAGGGGGCAAGCGUUGCUCGGAAUUACUGGGCGUAAAGGGCGCGUAGGCGGAAUGGCAAGUCGGUCGUGAAAUCCUUCGGCUCAACCGAAGAACGUCGAUCGAAACUGCCGUUCUUGAGGAUUGCAGAGGAGACUGGAAUUCCCGGUGUAGCGGUGAAAUGCGUAGAUAUCGAGAGGAACACCUGCGGCGAAGGCGGGUUGCUGGGCUGACACUGACGCUGAUGUGCGAAAGCUAGGGGAGCGAACGGG